AGCCACUCGGAGACGAGUCUGGUGGAGAUGUAGCCGUUCGAGCGGACAGCUCCGAGGAGCUGUGGACGUGGAGGACCACGCGCCAAGAGGAAGAUAAAGAAAAAAAUCUAUUGGACCCCCUGGAUGCGUAAAUGGACCGGGCCGGCGGGACGCCACAAUGCGCUGUCGACAUUCUCCACAAAGCUGUGUACCGCGCGCGUGGACGCGCUCAUUCGUCUCCGGAGGGACCACCGCUUAAACCCAGAAUAACCCGCCGAACCGCACCCGCGGAGAAGGUCAUCUUUUAUAGUUUAAACCGCAGAAAACGAGGAUCGCCUCCAACGUCCAGGUGCUCCUGAAGACUCGUCACUCAUGUGCUUCUGCUGCAGGCCAGAGGGGUUGUCUGUUAUCUUUGGUUAUCUAGCUGUAUGAGUGACGUACAUUCUUCAUAAAGCUAGAUAACCGAAAGUAACAAGAAUCCCAUUACAUGUCUGCACGGGAAAAAAAGAAAACAAGCAGAAGGAGAGGCAGUGGAGGACAGAUGCUACAAACGAAGUGAAGGGUUUUGGAUUUGAAUGAAGUUGCGGGUCGUUAAACCUGCAGGAUUAUAGCUGCACGUAGGCAUCAGAAACCACCAAUCUCCACCUGGAGAAAGGAGGUGAAACAGAAGGACAGCUUCUCCAACCGCACGACUCCAUGUUCAGACCAUCUUGUUGAUGCUCACUGUCUAGAUCUCUGCCAGACUGAUGAUGGAAAUCCACAGGAACAUGAAGAUCUUCACAUCGCACUCAUCAAGAGGCUGGACGUCAGAGAGGAUUUUGUGUGUGUGCGUUUGCCCAGCUGUUCAGGAAACAUCUGCACUAGAAUCUGAAUGUAGGUCAGAGCUGAGAUGCCAAGCUGUCACUGAGAUUUGUGCCACUGGAAAAAGGUAGUAAAAUAGUCUUAAGAAUCAAAUUUGUUUGUUUAUUAAUUAGUUUUUGUGUUCUUGUGGAUGUUAAUAUUUGCACAUUUUUGCAAAAAAAUUAUGCAAACUGACAUUUUUUGACAAUUUGUCACAAACCUGAUUAUGGAGUCGAUUUUAUAUCCUUUUGUUUUCAUUUUUCAUCUUUCUUUUUGACAUAAUCUUUCUCAUAUGAAAUAAGUGGAUAAAUUGCACUAAUUGAUGGAAGAAUCUCUGUUUACUUUUGAAUGUACAUCAGUAUCAUAAGACUGGAGCAGCCUCAGCAGUCUUUUACAAUCCAUUGAUAAUAUUGCACGCUGUCACUGCAGCGAAUAUCUUGCUCAGUCAUGAUUUCUUUAUAUGAAUCUAUGCAACAAAAAUGAAAAUAUGCAACAUUUGACAUAUUGUUGGUAGUUUGCACAUAAAUGUAGUAGGUGCAGUUUUAAAAAAUGGCAUGUUGAUGAGAACUGUGUGAAUGUGAGCUCAGUGCAAUGAUAUUUGAAGCCGAUGGUGAUUGUUUGCACUAUUAGUUUAGGAGAUUUGACUCUGCACAGGUUCCAUGUUUAUUACCAUUUUGAUUAUAGUUUACGACCAUAGAUACUGUAAAAUGUGCUGUAGAUCAAGAGCAGAUAAAGGCUGUUUGGAGGGAAUAACUUGGUUUAUUAUAAUUGCACUGAGUGAUAAUUGUCUCAGGAGUUUUAAGUUUGUUUUGCACAUCAUUUAUUCUCUGCUAUGCAACUAAUUCUAAUAAAAGUUUUUAUGUUUACAAAGACAAAA